UGGACACAUAGCAUGGACUGCUCCUAAGCUUGAUUUCUACUACAAGAACUUUGGACAGUCUGCCUGCAUGGACAGUGUCCUGGAUUUUGUUCAUUAAGGCAUUAUACUGGUAGAAAAGACAGAGGGGAAGGAGAAGGAAACAGUUCAGACAGUGACAGAUAAGUCAUUCUGAUUUCAUGUUUGAGGUUCCUCUCAAAGUUUUUCAUGCACUCACUUUAUUCUUUAACAAAAUAUAAAGGCUAUACUACUACAAUAAAACUAGAAUUAUUACAGCAAGAAAAGAAAGAAGUAAAAUUAAGGAGUGUUUCACAAAGUACGUUUUGACAUCAAACCAUGUGCAGGUUUAAUCUGUAUGUGGUUUUAUGUUUAAUGAUAUUUAAAUAUUGGGACAUAUGAAUACAAUAAUGGACUAACCUUUUCUUCCAGUGCAGAAUUUCUAAUCAGGACAGCGGACUUGUAUCUGAAAGACUGCUUUGACUCUUCAUACAAGUACGCACUUUGAAGAGGAGCCAAAAUGUUGUUUUUAAAGUCGUCACAGCUUUCUGGCACAGAUCUUUGAAGCUUCUUUCACACCAAGCAACUGCAGAUGUGACUUAAACCUGCAUUUCCUCUAAUGGCCAACAGAUGUCCACUGGGUCAAAAAUAAAGUUUGAUUGUGUGGAAAUCUACAAGAAAAUGACCCUACUUCUCACUUAAUUUAUUACCACAGUAAAGACUUAA